AGCCGGGCGAGUCGGCUCCGGCGGAUUAUUAUUUAAACCCAACUGCCCUCCCCCUUCUAAUGCAGCAUUUCCAUCUUUAUUAUUAUUCGUAGGGCUUCUAAUCGCAAAUAGCGGUUGUGUAACUUGCGUUUGCGUUUCUUUCGGCGGCGAUUGCAUAAACAGCGUUUGCGUUUGCGUUUCUUUCGGAGGCGGAGGCGCCGGUGGUUGCAUAAACAGCGUUUGCGUUUGCGUUUCUUUCGGAGGCGGAGGUGCCGGUGGUUGCAUAAACAGCGUUUGCGUUUCCUUCGGAGGCGAAGGAGCCGGCGGCUGCAUAAACAACGUCUGCGUUUCCUUAGGAGGCGGAGGAGCCGGCGGUUGCAUAAACAGCGUUUGCGUCUCUUUCGGAGGCGCAGACGGUGGCUGUUGCAUAAACAGCGUCUGCGUCUCUUUCGGAGGCGGCGGCGGUUGCAUAAACAACGCCUGUGUUUGCGGCUGCUGAAGUUGCGGUUGUUGCUGAUGCUGCUGCUGCUGCUGCUGCUGCUGAUGGUGGUGAUACUGUUGACCGAACUGACUCACCGGGCCAAACUGAAGAAACCUCAACUCG
rnacentral:lncRNA from 1 species